UGUUACCUUUUUGCCAGGAGGAACAAGAUUUUGGUUUGCUUUCAGUAUGUGGGUAAGUGCUUUCUUAACGUUCUUCUCUUUCAUACUUUGUAAAACCAUGGGAGGGAGGAAAGUGUCAAGGCCCCAUUCUUUCCUGGAAGAGAACUGCAUGUCAGACAGAGGGCAAGAUUCGUUAUUUCUAAGUUAUCUCAUUAUUAAUGUGUCAAGUUAUAGAAAUGAGGAGAUUCCAAGAUGGCCUUGGGAUCCAUGUCUAUUGUAAAAUGUUGUUCUUGCUUACUGCAGAAAUAAUCCAAACACCAACAAAGAGAGAAAAAUAGCACAGGUUUUGGAAAUCUGAAAGCAAAAAUAGAAAGACUCAUCAGAUGCUGCGUGACCUGUGAAAUGUUUCUGGUAGAUUCUGUUUUCAUUAUCACCUAACAAGAACUGUGUGGAUAAUGUGUCAUUGGUCCAACAGUCUGGAAGAUUUUCAUCAGACCAAAUCAAAAUGAAGACAACAGAGCAUUCGAGGCAAAUCAGGGAAAUGAUAGAGAAGCACAAAUCUAGGGAAGGGCACAAGACCUUAUCAAAGGCACUGAACAUACCUCAGAGCUCAGUGCAGCCCAUUGUGAAAGAGUGGAAAAAGUAUGAAACCACAGCCUCUCUGCCUAGGUCAGGUCUUGUUUCUAAACUUAGCCACUAGAGAGGAAUGGCACCUGUAAAAGGCUACUGUGAUUUCAACAGUCACUCCCAGUAAGCUGCAAGUCAGUGGAUGAAACUAGAGAUGGAGAUGGAGAUUUUCAUGCUUUACAAUCUUCCUUGUUUUUUUGAGUUUUACUGUGAAGAAUGUUGCAUGUGAUUCACAAACCAAAAUUCUCAGUUAAAUUGAUCAAAAUCCCUGGUCGUAACACUCAUUUAUGUGAAUACUGCAUUGUUUACAGAGUAAUGCUGUUUUGUUCGACUUUAUUCAAGGAUAUUCAUUACGGUUGAAUGUCAGUUGAAUUUGAAGAAAGGGUUGGAGGCUGAAUACUUUUACAACACACUGUAUUCUGCUAGUGAAUUCAGUUCUAUGGUGGAGUGAACAGAGCAUUCAGACCCGUGAACCAAUCAUCUCUUUCAUUCACCUUUCUGCCACAUGCUCCUCACUCUACCUCCUCGCUUAUUCUGUUAUUGUCAGUCGACUGAUGACAUUACAUUCUUUACAUGUGUCAAUCAUUGUAUUUAUUGCUGCAUUCAUUAUUACCAUUUAUACUGUUUACUCCCUGUUACCAGCUGUACUGUGAUCUCGUGCAAACAAUGAAUUUCAUUGUACCCUAGUGCAUAUGGCA